rnacentral:rRNA from 1 species
GGGCGUUAGAGUUUGAUCCUGGCUCAGGAUGAACGCUAGCGGAACGCCUAACACAUGCAAGUCGAACGAAUUUGCUUUUGUAGCAAUACAAAAGUACAUUAGUGGCAAACGAGCGAGUAACGCGUACCUAAUCUGCCCAGAAGUUGGGAACAACCAUAGAGAUAUGGCUAACUCCCAAUAGUAUCCAAAUGACGAAAUUAGUUUGGAUUAAAGAUUUAUCGCUUCUGGAGGAGGGUGCGUCCUAUCAGGUAGUUGGUGAGGUAAUGGCUCACCAAGCCUAUGACGGGUAGCCGGUCUGAGAUGAUGUCCGGCCGCGAUGGAACUGAGAUACGGUCCAUACUCCUACGGGAGGCAGCAGUGGGGAAUAUUGCACAAUGGACGAAAGUCUGAUGCAGCGAUUCCGCGUGGAGGAUGAAGCAUUAAGGUGUGUAAACUCCUUUUCUGGUGGAAGACGAAUGACGGUACACCAGGAAUAAGGGACGGCUAACUACGUGCCAGCAGCCGCGGUAAUACGUAGGUCCCGAGCGUUAUCCGGAUUUACUGGGCGUAAAGAGUCUGUAGCCCGAUAAAUAAGUCUGUCUUUAAAUACCUGGACUCAAUCGAGGGAAGGGGAUAGAUACUGUUUAUCUAGAGAUUUUGAGGGGUUAGUGGAAUUUCCGGUGGAGCGGUGAAAUGCGUUGAUAUCGGAAAGAAUGCCGAAAGCGAAAGCAGCUAACUAUCAAAAAUCUGACGGUGAGAGACGAAAGCUUGGGGAGCAAACGGGAUUAGAUACCCCGGUAGUCCAAGCCUUAAAUUAUGCUUGCUAGGUGUCUUCGGUCGUAUGACUGGGGGUGCCGUAAGUUAACACAUUAAGCAAGCCGCCUGGGUAGUAUAUUCGCAAGAAUGAAACUCAAAGGGAUAGGCGGGGGAACACACAAGCAGUGGAUUAUCUAGAUUAAUUGGAUACUAAGCCAGAAUCUUACCUAGAUUUGACAUGCAUAUGUCUACGUGAAAGCGUAUAUUCGUAGCAUAC